GGAUGUGAGGGCAACCUGGCUGCAACAUCUGUCAACCCAUUGACAGCCAGCAGUGAUUUGGCUGAUCUGGCUGGCCUGGCCGGUGCCCCCUUCCUCCCUCACUGCUCCAUAUCCGUCCCUCCUGAAACUGCGAGCUCAAAGAGGACUACCUUCCUGGUUAGAGGAGGACCGUUCUUUGGUCAACGGUAUACAAGUAGCUGUGCUCCCCUGCUAGAACCUCCAAACAAGCUCAGAAUGGAGGAGGGCAUUUAUCAAAAAAGCUCAGGAACACUCAUCUAGUCCAAGCCACACAUUCCCCAGAAAAAGAAAGAAGUCUUACUGUUUCUAGGAU
rnacentral:snRNA from 1 species